UUCUAACUGUUAAUUUCUCGAUAUUGAGGGUUGAAGUAGUGUUAGAUCGGGAGAUUUCGGCGAAAAUGGAAGGUGAAAAAGUAAAUGGAGGACCGAGGAGGUUGGGGAGUAGUAGGAGUAGUAUGAGUAGAACGAUGAGUAGAAGCAGAAGCAGAGCAAGUUGGAUGGUAGAAGAUGUGUUCAAUCCAAUGCCGAGUAGAAGAAGUACUCGUGGAGAAGAAGAUGAAGAAGCACUCACGUGGGCUGCGUUAGAGAGAUUGCCGACUUACGAUCGAUUGAGAAAGACGGUGC
rnacentral:lncRNA from 1 species